rnacentral:rRNA from 1 species
CGUACACUCCUGCGGGAGGCAGCAGUGGGGAAUAUUGCACAAUGGGCGCAAGCCUGAUGCAGCCAUGCCGCGUGUAUGAAGAAGGCCUUCGGGUUGUAAAGUACUUUCAGCGGGGAGGAAGGCAAUACGGUUAAUAACCGUGUUGAUUGACGUUACCCGCAGAAGAAGCACCGGCUAACUCCGUGCCAGCAGCCGCGGUAAUACGGAGGGUGCAAGCGUUAAUCGGAAUUACUGGGCGUAAAGCGCACGCAGGCGGUCUGUCAAGUCGGAUGUGAAAUCCCCGGGCUCAACCUGGGAACUGCAUUCGAAACUGGCAGGCUUGAGUCUUGUAGAGGGGGGUAGAAUUCCAGGUGUAGCGGUGAAAUGCGUAGAGAUCUGGAGGAAUACCGGUGGCGAAGGCGGCCCCCUGGACAAAGACUGACGCUCAGGUGCGAAAGCGUGGGGAGCAAACAGGAUUAGAAACCCCAGUAGUCCC